GAAAAUUUGAAAUUGUCACAAUCUGCAAAAAUUAAUCUUUGAUAAAGAGAUUGCAUAUUUAUAUUCGUAACUCUGCUCCCAAAGAAGAGGUUAUGAUAUCAUAUAAAGCAUAUGUAUAAAAGAAAGAAAAAUAUUUAUGCUCAUAAUUCUGCUUCCAAAGGAGGUGUUGUGAUGUCAUAUAAGAUAUAUUUUUCUAAGUUUGGUGUGGUAAUUUCUGAUGUGGUAUUUUAUUGAUAAAA
rnacentral:lncRNA from 1 species